GACGAACGCUGGCGGCGUGCUUAACACGUGCAAGUCGAACGGAAAGGCCCUGCUUUUGUGGGGUGCUCGAGUGGCGAACGGGUGAGUAACACGUGAGUAACCUGCCCUUGACUUUGGGAUAACUUCAGGAAACUGGGGCUAAUACCGGAUAGGAGCUCCUGCUGCAUGGUGGGGGUUGGAAAGUUUCGGCGGUUGGGGUUGGACUCGCGGCUUAUCAGCUUGUUGGUGGGGUAGUGGCUUACCAAGGCUUUGACGGGUAGCCGGCCUGAGAGGGUGACCGGCCACAUUGGGACUGAGGUACGGCCCAGACUCCUACGGGAGGCAGCAGUGGGGAAUAUUGCACAAUGGGCGGAAGCCUGAUGCAGCAACGCCGCGUGCGGGAUGACGGCCUUCGGGUUGUAAACCGCUUUCGCCUGUGACGAAGCGUGAGUGACGGUAAUGGGUAAAGAAGCACCGGCUAACUACGUGCCAGCAGCCGCGGUGAUACGUAGGGUGCGAGCGUUGUCCGGAUUUAUUGGGCGUAAAGGGCUCGUAGGUGGUUGAUCGCGUCGGAAGUGUAAUCUUGGGGCUUAACCCUGAGCGUGCUUUCGAUACGGGUUGACUUGAGGAAGGUAGGGGAGAAUGGAAUUCCUGGUGGAGCGGUGGAAUGCGCAGAUAUCAGGAGGAACACCAGUGGCGAAGGCGGUUCUCUGGGCCUUUCCUGACGCUGAGGAGCGAAAGCGUGGGGAGCGAACAGGCUUAGAUACCCUGGUAGUCCACGCUGUAAACGGUGGGUACUAGGUGUGGGGUCCAUUCCACGGGUUCCGUGCCGUAGCUAACGCUUUAAGUACCCCGCCUGGGGAGUACGGCCGCAAGGCUAAAACUCAAAGGAAUUGACGGGGCCCCGCACAAGCGGCGGAGCAUGCGGAUUAAUUCGAUGCAACGCGUAGAACCUUACCUGGGUUUGACAUGGAUCGGGAGUGCUCAGAGAUGGGUGUGCCUCUUUUGGGGUCGGUUCACAGGUGGUGCAUGCCUGUCGUCAGCUCGUGUCGUGAGAUGUUGGGUUAAGUCCCGCAACGAGCGCAACCCUUGUUCACUGUUGCCAGCACGUUAUGGUGGGGACUCAGUGGAGACCGCCGGGGUCAACUCGGAGGAAGGUGGGGAUGACGUCAAGUCCUCAUGCCCCUUAUGUCCGGGGCUUCACGCAUGCUACAAUGGCUGGUACAGAGAGUGGCGAGCCUGUGAGGGUGAGCGAAUCUCGGAAAGCCGGUCUCAGUUCGGAUUGGGGUCUGCAACUCGACCUCAUGAAGUCGGAGUCGCUAGUAAUCGCAGAUCAGCAACGCUGCGGUGAAUACGUUCCCGGG
rnacentral:rRNA from 1 species